GAUCCUGGCUCAGAUUGAACGCUGGCGGCAGGCUUAACACAUGCAAGUCGAGCGGGGAGAUGUAGCUUGCUACAUUACCUAGCGGCGGACGGGUGAGUAAUGCUUAGGAAUCUGCCUAUUAGUGGGGGACAACAUUCCGAAAGGAAUGCUAAUACCGCAUACGCCCUACGGGGAAAGCAGGGGAUCUUCGGACCUUGCGCUAAUAGAUGAGCCUAAGUCAGAUUAGCUAGUUGGUGGGG
rnacentral:rRNA from 1 species